GGGCGAAUAGCUCAGUUGGGAGAGCGCAUCGCUUACAACGAUGAGGCCACAGGUUCGAGCCCUGUUUCGCCCA
rnacentral:tRNA from 1 species